GUCCUGCCUGCCCUGUGACCCCUGGUUCAACGGCCGCGGUAUUUUGACCGUGCAAAGGUAGCGCAAUCACUUGUCUCUUAAAUGAGGACCUGUAUGAAUGGCACAACGAGGGCUUAACUGUCUCCUUUCCCCGGUCAGUGAAAUUGAUCUUCCCGUGCAGAAGCGGGAAUCCUAACAUAAGACGAGAAGACCCUAUGGAGCUUUAGACUCCAGAACAGAUCAUGUAAGCUACCCCCAUAAAACAGGUAAUAACUAUUGAAUUUCUGUUCCCCUGUCUUUGGUUGGGGCGACCACGGGGAAGAAAAAAACCCCCAUGUGGACCAGGAGCACAUUACUCCUACAACCAUGAGCCACAGCUCUAAUGCACAAAACCUUUGACCAUUAGAUCCGGCAAAGCCGAUCAACGGACCAAGUUACCCUAGGGAUAACAGCGCAAUCCCCUUUAAGAGUCCAUAUCGACAAGGGGGUUUACGACCUCGAUGUUGGAUCAAGACAUCCUAAUGGUGCAGCCGCUAUUAAGGGUUCGUUUGUUCAACGAUUAAAGUCUUA
rnacentral:rRNA from 1 species